GACAGAGGGUGCAAACGUUGUUCGGAAUUACUGGGCGUAAAGCGAGUGUAGGCGGUUUGGUAAGUCGGAUGUGAAAGCCCUGGGCUCAACCCAGGAAGUGCACUCGAAACUGCCAAGCUAGAGUAUCGGAGAGGUUGGUGGAAUUCUCGGUGUAGAGGUGAAAUUCGUAGAUAUCGAGAGGAACACCGGUGGCGAAGGCGGCCAACGGGACGAAUAAUGACUAUGAGACUCGAAAGCGUGGGGAGCAAACAGG
rnacentral:rRNA from 1 species